rnacentral:RNase_P_RNA from 1 species
AGAGCCGACUCGGCAAUCGCUCUAUCUAUAUUAAUAGGUAGGGAGGAAAGUCCGGGCUCCACAGGACAAGGUGCCAGGUAACGCCUGGGGGGCGAAAGCCUACGGAAAGUGCCGCAGAAAAUAUACCGCCUAAGCGCGCCAAUCUCGGUUGGGGCGCCGGUAAGGGUGAAAUGGUGCGGUAAGAGCGCACCGCGCCGUUGGCAACAGCGGUGGCAGGGUAAACCCCACCUGGAGCAAGACCAAAUAGGGGGGCAGGCGGCGCAAGCCGCAACGUGUGGUCCGCAUGGCUCCCGGGUAGGUUGCUCGAGGUGCACGGUGACGUGCAUCCCAGAUGAAUGAUUGCCCACGACAGAACCCGGCUUAUAGGUCGGCUCUCCCA